rnacentral:rRNA from 1 species
GAUGAACGCUGGCGGCGUGCCUAAUACAUGCAAGUCGAGCGAACAGACGAGGAGCUUGCUCCUCUGACGUUAGCGGCGGACGGGUGAGUAACACGUGGAUAACCUACCUAUAAGACUGGGAUAACUUCGGGAAACCGGAGCUAAUACCGGAUCAUAUAUUGAACCGCAUGGUUCAAUAGUGAAAGACGGUUUUGCUGUCACUUAUAGAUGGAUCCGCGCCGCAUUAGCUAGUUGGUAAGGUAACGGCUUACCAAGGCAACGAUGCGUAGCCGACCUGAGAGGGUGAUCGGCCACACUGGAACUGAGACACGGUCCAGACUCCUACGGGAGGCAGCAGUAGGGAAUCUUCCGCAAUGGGCGAAAGCUUGACGGGGCAACGCCGCGUGAGUGAUGAAGGUCUUCGGAUCGUAAAACUCUGUUAUUAGGGAAGAACAAAUGUGUAAGUAACUAUGCACGUCUUGACGGUACCUAAUCAGAAAGCCACGGCUAACUACGUG